GCACGAACAUGGCGGCGGCCCUGGCGCCGAUGGGCGAUGGCGGCGGCGCGGCGGCCCCUUGAGCUCCCCCCGCCGCGGCGCUGCCCCAUCCCAGGCAUGGUGGCCGCGGUGUAGGAGGGCGGGAGCCGCGGCGAUGGAGGAGAGCCCCUGAGCCUGUCUGCGGAGGCGUUGCGUGUGUGUGAGACGUGAGAAAAGGUCUUUGCUGUACCCAGAAAGUUUUCCUGUUGGCAGUGUUCAGAGAUCAAGGGAGUCAAUCUGUCAUUGGCUUCUUUUCAAAUAGACCAUUUCUUCUGAUCACAGGACUAACUCUUCCCCAGUAUUCAUGUGAUAGAGUGGGAAUUUCUCAAGCAUUCUGCUCAUGAAUAUCAGUUAAAUGCUUUGUGCUUGUUUAAAAACAGCUUUUAACUCUUCUGGUGUGGUAAGCCAGGAGACAGUGGUGACUACAUGCUGAUCCAUGGAAGAUAACUUUUCAAAGUGAGCCAAGCUGCAAAUGGGCUUUCAGGCUAUGGUCAGAACUUGGAGCUUGUUUCUAGUUCUGCUGUGUAAAUUUUUGAGAUUGUGUAGCAGCUGGAGUUGGAGACCAUGUGCGCCAGGGAAGUCUCUGCUAGGUGCUUUAACAAAGUUGGAAAACUACAAGAGGUUUUUCAAAGAGCAAAACAAGUAGAAGAAAUACUUACCUGUUAAGUCUGUUGGCAACCAGUUUAUUUUUUAAUUUUUUUUUUUAACUCUCCACUCAUGGAAAACAUCUUUUUCUUGAGUACAGUGUUUUAAGAAAGUGUGAGGUAAUACACUCAAGGUUAUUGAACCAACUCAUAGAUUCUGGUAAGGUAAGGCUAAUAAUUUCCUUUCAGCCUCCUGCACAGACAAUAGCUUUCUUCUGGUCUUCCCUCUUCCACGUGAAAACAAUGCUUAAUCUGCCAACUUAACUAGUGAAUUCCCAUAAAAAUAAAACAGUUUUAGCAAUUUCUUUUAAGGUCUCUUGCCCAGGUCAGUACAUUUGUGCUGGGACAAGUAAAAAUGAUGCACUGCCAGUGAUCUAUUUAUGUGUAAUUCAUCAUCAGAUAGUGGAAACAGUUAAUGUUCUGGGAAUUGGCAUGAAUUUCACAUUGGGAAAGGGGGUGUUUGGUUUGUUUUAAUCUCUCUUAAAUAAUCGCAGACUGUCUAGGAAGAUGGAAUGU